rnacentral:rRNA from 1 species
CUCCUACNNNNNGCNGCAGUGGGGAAUAUUGCACAAUGGGCGAAAGCCUGAUGCAGCUAUGCCGCGUGUAUGAAGAAGGCCUUAGGGUUGUAAAGUACUUUCAACAAGAAAGAAAAGAUAAAAUCUAAUACAUUUUAUUAUUGACGUUACUUGUAAAAGAAGCACCGGCUAACUCCGUGCCAGCAGCCGCGGUAAUACGGAGGGUGCAAGCGUUAAUCGGAAUUACUGGGCGUAAAGAGCACGUAGGCUGUUAAUUAAGUCAGGUGUGAAAUCCCUAAGCUUAACUUAGGAACUGCAUUUGAAACUGAUUAACUUGAGUUUCGUAGAGGGGGGUAGAAUUCCAGGUGUAGCGGUGAAAUGCGUAGAUAUCUGGAGGAAUACCAGUGGCGAAGGCGACCCCCUGGACGAAUACUGACGCUCAGGUGCGAAAGCAUGGGGAGCAAACAGGAUUAGAUACCCUGGUAGUCCAUGCNGUAAACGAUGUCGACUUGAAGGUUGUAAGCUUGACUUAUAGCUUUCGUAGCUAACGCGUUAAGUCGACCGCCUGGGGAGUACGACCGCAAGGUUAAAACUCAAAUGAAUUGACGGGGGCCCGCACAAGCGGUGGAGCAUGUGGUUUAAUUCGAUGCAACGC